AACUGAAACGUGGUUCAGGUAGUUUCAUGUUGUUGGGAUUCGCUUCCUGGCUCGGCAACAAGAAACUGCCUCGAUUACGUCAGUUCGUCUUCAUCAAGGGC
rnacentral:pre_miRNA from 10 species